rnacentral:rRNA from 1 species
UACGGAGGUGCAAGCGUUAUUCGGGAUUACUGGGCGUAAAGCGCGUGUAGGCGGGAAAGCAAGUCUGAUGUGAAAGCCCUGGGCUUAACCUGGGAAGUGCAUUGGAAACUGUUUUUCUUGAGUACUGGAGAGGAAGGGAGAAUUCCCGGUGUAGAGGUGAAAUUCGUAGAGAUCGGGAGGAACACCAGUGGCGAAGGCGCCCUUCUGGACGGUUACUGACGCUGAGACGCGAAAGCGUGGGGAGCAAACAGGAUUAGAACCU